rnacentral:rRNA from 1 species
CAAGGUGUCUUCGGACGCCGGCAAACGGCUCAGUAACACGUAGGUAAUCUACCCUCAGGACUGAGAUAACCCCGGGAAACUGGGGCUAAUACCAGAUAGAUAAAAGAUACUGGAAUGUUCUUUUAUCCAAAGCUUUUGUGCCUGAGGAUGAGCCUGCGCCCGAUUAGGUAGUUGGUGGGGUAAUGGCCCACCAAGCCUGCGAUCGGUACGGGCAGUGGGAGCUGUAGCCCGGAGUUGGGGACUGAGACAAGGCCCCAGGCCCUACGGGGCGCAGCAGGCGCGAAACCUCUGCAAUGCGGGAAACCGUGACAGGGGGAUUCCAAGUGCUCAUGCAUUGCAUGGGCUGUUCUUUGGUCUAAGUAACCAGAGGAGUAAGGGCUGGGCAAGACCGGUGCCAGCCGCCGCGGUAAUACCGGCAGCUCGAGUGGUAGCCGCGAUUAUUGGGCCUAAAACGUUCGUAGCCGGAUAAGUAAGUCUUUGGUUAAAUCCUACGACUUAACCGUGGGAAAUCUAGAGAUACUGCUUGUCUUGAGACCGGGAGAGGUUGGAGGUACUCCCAGGGUAGGGGUGAAAUCCUGUAAUCCUGGGGGGACCACCUGUGGCGAAGGCGUCCAACUGGAACGGCUCUGACGGUGAGGGACGAAUCCUAGGGGAGCGAGCCGGAUUAGAUACCCGGGUAGUCCUAGGCGUAAAUGAUGCGAGUUAAGUGUGGGGGCAUCUACGAGAUGGCCCUGUGCUGUAGGGUAGCCGUUAAACUCGCUGCCUGGGGAGUACGGUCGCAAGGCUGAAACUUAA